rnacentral:rRNA from 1 species
GACGAACGCUGGCGGCGUGCCUAAUACAUGCAAGUCGAGCGAGCGGAACCAACAGAUUUACUUCGGUAAUGACGUUGGGAAAGCGAGCGGCGGAUGGGUGAGUAACACGUGGGGAACCUGCCCCUAAGUCUGGGAUACCAUUUGGAAACAGGUGCUAAUACCGGAUAAUAAAGCAGAUCGCAUGAUCAGCUUUUGAAAGGCGGCGUAAGCUGUCGCUAAGGGAUGGCCCCGCGGUGCAUUAGCUAGUUGGUAAGGUAACGGCUUACCAAGGCGACGAUGCAUAGCCGAGUUGAGAGACUGAUCGGCCACAUUGGGACUGAGACACGGCCCAAACUCCUACGGGAGGCAGCAGUAGGGAAUCUUCCACAAUGGACGCAAGUCUGAUGGAGCAACGCCGCGUGAGUGAAGAAGGUUUUCGGAUCGUAAAGCUCUGUUGUUGGUGAAGAAGGAUAGAGGUAGUAACUGGCCUUUAUUGACGGUAAUCAACCUAGAAAGUCACGGCUAAC